rnacentral:tRNA from 1 species
UCCCUGAUAGCUCAGUUAGUAAAGAAUCCACCUGCAAUGUGGAAGACCCUGGUUCGAUUCCUGGGUCGAGAA